UACGUAGGGUCCAAGCGUUAUCCGGAAUCACUGGGCGUAAAGCGUCCGCAGCCGGCGUGUUAAGUGUGAUGUUAAAUCGUGUGGCUCAACCAUAUCGAUGUGUCGCAUACUGGCAUGCUAGAGGAAAUCAGAGGCAAGUGGAAUUUGUAGUGUAGCAGUGAAAUGCGUAGAUAUUACAAGGAACACCAAUGGCGAAGGCAGCUUGCUGGGAUUUUUCUGACGGUCAUGGACGAAAGACGUGGGGAGCGGAACAGGAUUAGA
rnacentral:rRNA from 1 species